rnacentral:rRNA from 1 species
UACAGAGGCCUCGAGCGUUAGGCGGAAUCACUGGGCUUAAAGCGUGUGUAGGCGGACUGGUAAGUACCUUGUGAAAUCCCACAGCUUAACUGUGGAACUGCUCGGUAUACUGCUGGUCUUGAGCCACUCAGGGGCUACCGGAACAAAUGGUGGAGCGGUGAAAUGCGUAGAUAUCAUUUGGAACGCCAAUGGUGAAAACAGGUAGCUGGGGGUGUGCUGACGCUGAGACACGAAAGCCAGGGGAGCAAACGGG